rnacentral:lncRNA from 10 species
UGUGCCCAGAGCAAGGCCUUAUCAGAGCAAGCUGCCUGCCAUUUAUCUGACUCCCCAUCAAAUAGGAAAACGGGCCUCAGGCUGCUGCUUCCACUUUCCUUGGGAAAGCCAUGGGGGGAAUAAUAAUUUACUCCAAUCUUUUUGUUUCCAGCGCUCACCUUCAGCCUGACACAGCCCCUCUGCCACUCCCCACUUCCAGCAAUGCCAGCCUGGGGGUACAAGGUUGAGCCCCAGCCCCCAAGGGCCCACCCCAGGGACACCCCCAGAAAUGCCCUUGCUGGUUGAGUGGACCUUCAUAAUGGAUUGGCAUGAGCUGGAGAAGAUCCCCUUUGGCAUCAGGGAUUGUAGGCACAGGAGAAAGGAGGCAGAGACCCGGUGGGGAGCUGGGGAGGCUUGGCCUGGCUGCAGGGGGCCUGGCUUCCUUCCCAGCCCCCACACAUAUGCAGAUCCCCCACAAACUCUCACUGUGUGCGUGUGUAUGUGUGUGUGCUCACACGCCCAGAUGCACAUGCAGUCCCUGUAUGAGGACCUAUCGGUACCUUUAUCUGUGUGUCUGUCCAUCUGUCUGUCUGUCUGUGUCUGGGGAGGAGAUGAAUGGGGGACUGGGGGCGGUUUCUGUUCUGUGUCACAGACUCUGACCUCUCAUCUCAGUUCACAAUCCCAACAGCCAUGAGCAAGUCCAAGACAGGAUGACAGGGACUGUCUGAAAGGGAGUGAACAGUGGGCGAGGGAGGGGUCCCAGCCGGGCCUGGUGGUGGGUCGUCUUGCCUCACCCUCCCUGGCGAAGGCUGCUCCAGGGAGCAGCAGGCAGCCCAUCUGGUGCAGGAGCUGCAGAGAGGUGGGCAGCGGGGAGGGGGCUGCUCCCCACAGGCCAGCCAUAAAUCACAGUUAUGUGGCCAGGGGGCAGGGGGCAGCCGUAGCAGCACACACAGGACGAGGCAGAGAGGCCAGGGUCAGGUGCAGCUGUAAAUUGUCACCUAAAUGCUUCCAAGUGAAGGCUAAUCAGAGCACGGUGACAGAACACACCUGGCCCCACCCUGCCCCAGUGGGCACACUUAUGUCUGUGCAAGCACAUACACACUCACAGAUACAAAACCAUGCUGGGACAUGUUCUGCAUACAAAGCUGCACACGCAAAGGUGUCACACCCAUACCUGGAUACACAAAGACACACGUGUUUGUUAGUGCCAUGUGGGCAUGGAGAGUGGAGAGCAGAC